AUGGCCGGGACAUUAUGGGAUGAGGUGGCCGUGACCCUGCUGGAGUCCACGGGGGACCUCCAGCCCUAUGGGGGGUCCUUGACUCUGCUCUGCCGCGGGUCUGGGUUCAAAUUCGAUGGUUACAACAUGGCGUGGGUCCGCCAGAGCCCUGGGAAGGGUCUGGAAUGGCUUGGGGAGAUCAGCAUCGGUGGCAGCACCGUCUACGCGCCGUCAGUCAAGGGUCAGUUCAGGAUCUCCAGGGACAACGGGCAGAGCUCGGUGACGCUGACCAUGAACAACCUCAAGGACGAGGAUUCCGGCGCCUAUUUCUGUGCCAAAGCUACUGGUGGUCGUUGGGCUGGUGCUUAUGCUGCUUAUGCUGCUGAUGGUUUUUACCACACUCUCACCCCUCUACCCCCACAGGUCCCUAAACGUCCCCACACCCUUCCUGCAAACCCCAAAGUUUCACCCCGACUGUUAACACGGACCCUGGGUCCUUAG